rnacentral:tRNA from 7 species
AGGCGCGUAGCUCAGUUGGUAGAGCGCAUCCCUCACACGGAUGAGGUCUGCGGUUCGAGCCCGCACGCGCCUACCA